AUCAGGAAGAAAGCUUGCUUUUGAUGGGCGUCGACCGGCGCACGGGUGAGUAACGCGUAUCCAACCUGCCUUACACUCUUGGACAGCCUUCUGAAAGGGAGAUUAAUACAAGAUGGCAUCAUGAGUCCGCAUGUUCACAUGAUUAAAGGUAUUCCGGUAGACGAUGGGGAUGCGUUCCAUUAGAUAGUAGGCGGGGUAACGGCCCACCAAGGCUACGAUCGGUAGGGGUUCUGAGAGGAAAGCCCCCACAUUGGAACUGAGACACGGUCCAAACUCC
rnacentral:rRNA from 1 species